CUAAUAUGUAGGCGAUUCACUGAAGCUCCCGAAACCCAAGGGAAACCUGAAGGCUCCUAGAGGGCAGCCUUGUAAUCUCAGACUACGCAGUGGUCCAAUAAAGGUAGCAGCAGCGGCCCGUCCCAGAUGCCCACAAGUCCCCGUGGCGGAGCGCGAGUACACACAUUCGAACUCGAAAGAUGGCGAACUACAACCAGGUAGGAAGAGGCCAGCGAAAACUGUGGUGUAGGUCGGUCUGAAGUGGAAAUCAAUUGUCUUAUCGAGGUGUAGGGGUGAAAGGUGAAUCCAGCCACCUUGUAGCUG
rnacentral:rRNA from 1 species